rnacentral:misc_RNA from 1 species
CGCCGCAGACAAGGCGAUGCACGCCGCCAUGGGUAUGCCAGAGAUGGCGGCCUGGGGCGCAGGGGAGCUCGUCAUGCUGUUCCUCAUGUGGACGGUCAUGAUGAUUGCGAUGAUGCUUCCGUCGGCGGCGCCGAUCAUGCUGCUUGUGGUUGGCACGUAUAGGCGUCGAGGCGACCGCUCAGGUGUCCUGACGCUGGCCUUUGGUUCAGGCUAUCUCGUCGCGUGGACCGCAUUCAGCGCCGCGGCCGCAAUCACGCAGCUCCUGCUGCAUCGCGCCGCUCUUUUGUCAUCCGCAAUGGCCGCGAACUCAGCACUGAUCGGCGGCGGGAUUCUGCUUUGUGCCGGC